rnacentral:rRNA from 1 species
GACGAACGCUAGCUACAGGCUUAACACAUGCAAGUCGAGGGACCGGCGCACGGGUGAGUAACACGUAUCCAACCUGCCCUUUACUCGGGGAUAGCCUUUCGAAAGAAAGAUUAAUACCCGAUAUAAAGGAUGGGGAGGCGUUCCAUUAGGUUGUUGGUGUGGUAACGGCUCACCAAGCCUUCGAUGGAUAGGGGUUUUUAGAGGAAGGUCCCCCACAUGGGAACUGAGACACGGUCCAAACUCCUACGGGAUGCAGCAGUGAGGAAUAUUUGUCAAUGGGCGGUAGCCUGAUGCUGCCAAGUAGCGUGAAGAAUGAAGGCUUAUGGGUCGUAAACUUCUUGUAUAUAAGAAUAUGUAUUAUAUGAAUAAGGAUCGGCUAACACCGUGCCAGCCGCCGCGGUAAUAC